UACGGAUUUAAAAAAAAGACUUCAUGGCUCAGCUUUGCCUUACUGUGGCCUGAUGCUGACACUACAGUGAAAGACGAGGCCAUCAUUGAACCAGUGGUGGAGGAGUUGGAGAAUAAGGUGGUGAAGAAGGUGUAUUCUGAUGGAUCCGGUAUCGUACCCACCGCGGUUCAGUGAGAGCGCUCGGUCCAUCUGUGAGGGUCUGCUGUCCAAAGAGGUCGACAAGAGGCUCGGCUUCUCGUCACGGGACAUGUGACGAGAUCAGGGCGCACGCCUUCUUCAGCCAGAUCAACUGGAGGAAACUCAACGCAGGGAUCGUCGACCCCCCCUUUUUGCCGAACUCGAAGACUCGUUUACGGCAAGGACGUCCACCACGUCGGGGCCCUCUCCACGGUUAGAGGCGUGCAGCUUGAACACAAGGACGAGGAUUUCUUUAACGAGUUUGCCUCUGGGAACAUCUCCAUCCCCAGGC